rnacentral:rRNA from 1 species
UGGGGAAUAUUGCACAAUGGGCGAAAGCCUGAUGCAGCAACGCCGCGUGAGUGAUGAAGGCCUUCGGGUUGUAAAGCUCUGUCUUUUGGGACGAUAAUGACGGUACCAAAGGAGGAAGCCACGGCUAACUACGUGCCAGCAGCCGCGGUAAUACGUAGGUGGCAAGCGUUGUCCGGAUUUACUGGGCGUAAAGGAUGCGUAGGCGGAUUUUUAAGUGGGAUGUGAAAUACCCGGGCUUAACUUGGGUGCUGCAUUUCAAACUGGGAAUCUAGAGUGCGGGAGAGGAGAAUGGAAUUCCUAGUGUAGCGGUGAAAUGCGUAGAGAUUAGGAAGAACACCAGUGGCGAAGGCGAUUCUCUGGACCGUAACUGACGCUGAGGCAUGAAAGCGUGGGUAGCAAACAGGAUUAGAUACCCUGGUAGUCCACGCCGUAAACGAUGAGUACUAGGUGUAGGAGGUAUCGACCCCUUCUGUGCCGCAGUUAACACAAUAAGUACUCCGCCUGGGAAGUACGAUCGCAAGAUUAAAACUCAAAUGAAUUGACGGGGUC